GACGAACGCUGGCGGCGUGCCUAAUACAUGCAAGUCGAGCGAGACUCUUCGGAGUCUAGCGGCGGACGGGUGAGUAACACGUGGGCAACCUGCCUGUAAGACUGGGAUAACACCGGGAAACCGGUGCUAAUACCGGAUAAUCCUUUUUCUCUCAUGAGGAAAAGCUGAAAGUCGGUUUCGGCUGACACUUACAGAUGGGCCCGCGGCGCAUUAGCUAGUUGGUGAGGUAACGGCUCACCAAGGCGACGAUGCGUAGCCGACCUGAGAGGGUGAUCGGCCACACUGGGACUGAGACACGGCCCAGACUCCUACGGGAGGCAGCAGUAGGGAAUCUUCCACAAUGGACGAAAGUCUGAUGGAGCAACGCCGCGUGAGCGAUGAAGGCCUUCGGGUCGUAAAGCUCUGUUGAUAGGGAAGAACAAGUACCGGAGUAACUGCCGGUACCUUGACGGUACCUAACCAGAAAGCCACGGCUAACUACGUGCCAGCCGCCGCGGUAAUAC
rnacentral:rRNA from 1 species